ensembl:lincRNA
UAUUUAUUAUUUUUAUUUAUUUUAUUUCUGAAAUUCAUUUUUUUUUUUUUUUGUAGACGGAGUCUCGCUCUAUCACCCAGGCUGGAGUGCAGUGGUGCGAACUCGGCUCACUGCAACCUCCGCCUCUGGGUUCAAGUGAUUCUCCUGCCUGGGCCUCUGGGACUACAGGCACCCGCCACCACGCCCAACUAAUUUUUGUAUUUCUAGUAGAGACAGGGUUUCACCGUGUUGGCCAGGCUGGUCUUGAACUCCCGACCUCAAGUGAUCCGCCCUCCUCGGCCUCUCAAAGUGCUGGGAUUACAGGUGUGAGCCAUCUCACCCAGCCUCUUCUGUGUGUGUGUGUGUGUGUGUGUGUGUGUGUGUGUGUCUGUGUGUGUCUGUGUGUGUAGAGAAGGGGUCUUGCUAUGUUACCCAGGCUGGAGUGCAGUGGCCCGAUCAUAGCUUCCUGCAACCUCGAUCUCCUGGGCUCAAGCGACCCUAGAGGAAGGGCGUUUCGGUAUGGGCACUUCUUAGGAAAUCUUCGCUGCUUUGGAGACUAAAAGAGCCCAAAGGCAGGUAGGUGAGCCGCGGAUACAAGCCUCCCUGUCUCCCUGUUGUUGCAUACGGGUCUCACAGGAAACUAAGUGAGGAGUAGGGAGGGCAGUGGGUUAGGAACAGCGAUGGCCAGCAGAUGGCGCCAGGCCCCAAGGCAUGACCCACUGGCCGCAGGCGCGCCUGGGAGUGGCCGCGAAGCUAGUCCUCAAACAAAGCUGGAGCCAAUGCGCUCUCUGGGGUCCUUCACAUCCUGCUACUCAACGACCUGAAGGUCCUGCUGACUUCCCCUUCAGAAAAGGACUGAGGUACCAGAUGGAUACUUGAGUGCUAAGCUGGUUGUCCUUGGGCCCUUCAUGCCAGGCUCCCAGCGGCCCUGCCCUCUGAACAUCAGGCAAUGCCUCUCUACGAUACAUAGCUUUAAUCAGCAGCAAAAUAAAAUGGGGCUCAUUGAAUAAGGCUUACAAAGAUGAUGAGCUCCUGCCUGGGUUUGCACUGCCUGCUGUGCGGACGAGCCGCAUCUGUGGACUCCUCCUUAGUCAGACCAAGCUGCCAUCUUUACCUUGGCUCCGAAGGUGACCUAUGAGCUGCCACACCUACUCUAGGAAUGCCCAGCAAAGUCCUGACUUGGCAACAGGGACCAGGGAUAGAGACUUUGACACAUCUCCGGUGACUCUUCUGGAAAGGAGUGGAAGAUCUGCCGGUGAGCGAUAGAAGCGUCACACCCCGGUUCCCAAACCCAGCCCUAGACAUUCUGGUGCCGAGAGGUGUCACUUCCUGGCAAAGGUGAAGGGAGGGUCAGUUUCUCCCUGCUGUUCCUGAUUCCAUCAGCUCUUGACCCACAGAGCAAACAUGUGCCCAGCCUCUGCAGCGACAACCAGGUGUUCUCCUGGACUCACCCUGGCCCAGACCCGCUCGGUGGAGUUGGCAUCUGCUGUGAGCCUCCCAUUUGAUUUGAUGGUUUCCAUUUAGUAGGUAUUUGUAGAUGCAGCCAGUCCUUUGAAGAAUUAUUAUGCUCAUAAAGUGCAGAGAAAAUGGUAUGGCCCUGCCUACUUCUCAGUUUUCUGAGGCUCAGGAAUCAGCACACUGUUUUCCUGAUUUCGCUCUAGGCUUUCUUCACUCCCGUAAUGAGCAGUAGGGGUCACUGUGUAGCCACAGAACGCCUCCACGAGGCUCCAGAAAUCUAACUCCACCUACCUCUGGGCUGGACCAGAACACUUGGAUGAAACGGCCACGUCACCACAUCUUCACAAAGUCAGGGGACACAUUUAGCAGGAUCUUUUCUGAUUGAAAUGAUCAAUGGCUAUUUCUAUGUUGCUGAAGUGAAAAUGAAUAUAGUGGUUUGGGUUGGAAUCACUAUGUUGAUAUAAUACAUAUAUAGUGAUAUAAAUGACUAUAUUGAUAUAAAUAAUAUUGCCACCAACUCGUUAUGCUCCUGAAUUUCCUCAAUUAGUUUGAAAAUUGAUCAGUUUUCCCCAAAUAAGCUUAGAAUACAGUUUUGUUUUGUUUUAGACAGAGCCUUGCUCUGUUGCACAAGCUGGAGUGCAGUGGUGCAAUCUUGGCUCACUGCAACCUCUGCCUCCCGGGUUCAAGCGAUUCUCCUGCCUCAGCCUCCCAAAUAGCUGGGAUUAUAGGCAUAUGCCACCACAUCCGGCUAAUUUUUAUUUUUCGGAGAGAUGGAGUUUCACCAUGUUGGCCAGCCUGGAUACGAACAGAAUAUACAGUUUUAAUUGCAUGUGUGUAUAUGUUUAGAUACUGAUAAGCAAACAUUGUGUUAAAAACCAAGUAUCGCAUUAUUCUGUUUUUUAAGACCUAGAUUUACGGAAGAUAAACAUUAGAAAACAAUAUUCAGCAGUCUUGUUUCUAGUUUUAACAUGGACCUAAUGUGAAACAGAAGAAAAUUUGGGAUCAAUAAUAACACCACUUUGGUACCAACCACAAAACAAAAAAAGUUGAAAAAAAAAACAACCCACACCCUCAAAAGAUAACAAUGUAGUAUGUACGAAAAAAGUGAGUAGAAAUAAAAUAAAAUCAGAUACUAUGUGGGAAAGGGCUUUGUUGUCCAUACAUUGCCAUAGUUGGCCCAGGCAAGGAUAGUGGCAAUUGAAACACUUUCUAAGAUGCACAGCCCUGCAAGUCAGCUUUUGGCUGAUUUCCUGGGUAUUUAACUUGGAAUUGGACAACGGCCCUGGCUGCUCCUCACAACCCCUACCACCUCUGUCCACCAGGGGGCUUCACUCUUUUCCGCUUGGAUUCUCUUUACAUCCUCCACCGGUCCCCAACUCCACUCACCCAUCCCCCAGUAGAUUCCCUCCACUCUCCCCAUUUCCCUUCUUGUUUCCCACCUGGUCUACGAUCUAGCCAUUAAGGCUUCGGGGAGAAACAUAGGAAAAUCAGCACAGCCCACCAACUCCACUGCCUUGAAACUGCUUCUGCGUCUGUCGGCCCGCCUGCUUUCCACAGUACGGCAAAUCUUGGGCGUUCAACAAAUAUUGUGGACCACCACUACACUAGAACCACCAAAGAAAUAUGAUCAAGGCUGCACAAAGUAGUGCACUGAGGAUCCACUGCUAAUGAAUUUGGAAAAAUUAAAAGUCACAGGCCGGGCGCAGUGGCUCAAGGCUGGGCGCAGUGGCUCACGCCUGUAGUCCCAGCACUUUGGGAGGCUGAAGCGGGUGGAUCACGAGGUCAGGAGUUCGAGACCAGCCUGGGUAAUAUGGUGAAACCCUGUCUCUACUAAAAAUACAAAAAUUAGCUGAGCGUGGUGGCACGUGCCUGUAGUCCCAGCUGCUUGGGAGGCUGAGGCAGGAGAAUUGCUUGAACCCGGGAGAUCGCAGUGAGCUGAGAUGGAGCCACUGCGCCCCAGCCUGGUUGACAGAGCAUGACUCUGUCUCAAAAAACAAAACAAACAAAUAAAAAAACCACACACAUUUAAACCGUUUUCUAGUGUCCAGUUCUGUAGUAUUAGGUAGAUUCCCACUGUUGUGCGACCAUCACUACUAACCAUUUCCAGGUCUCUGUUCACCCUGUGGAAUGGAAACUCUGUAGCCAUGGAACAACUCCCCAUUCUGCAGUCCCUGGCAACCACCAUUCUACUUUCUGUCCCUAUGAAUGUAACUACUCUAAGUCUUAAAUGAGCCAAACUCAUUAGCAGUCAAUCCUCAAUGCACUGCUUCAUGCAGCUUUGAUCAUAUUUCUUUGGUGGCCCCAGUGUAGUGGCGGUCCACAAUAUUUGUUGAACGCCCAGGAUUUGCCACGCUGUGCCCGGCAGUCAGGUUGACAGAUGCAGAAGCAGUUUCAAUGCAGUGGAGUUGGUGGGCUAUGCUGAUUUUGCUGUGUUUCUCCCCAAAGCCUUACUACCUCGUGCGAGUGGACAAAUACAGUAUUUGUCCUUUUCUGACUGGCUUGCGUCACUUAACAUAAUAUCUUCAAGGUUCUUCAUAUUGUAGCACGUAUCGGAAUUUCCAUCCUUUUUCAGGCUGAAUAAUAUUCCAUUGUAUGGACAUUCCACAUGUUGUUUAUUCAUUCAUCCAUUGAUGGACACUUAAGUGGCUUUCACCUUUUCACUGUUGUGAAUAAUGCUGCCAUACACACAUGGGUGUACAAACAUCUAUUCGAGUCUGUGCUUUCAGUUGUUU